rnacentral:rRNA from 1 species
GACGUAGGAGGCGAGCGUUGUCCGGAUUCAUUGGGCGUAAAGAGCACGCAGGCGGUUUGGCAAGUCGGACGUGAAAAUCCGGGGCUCAACCCCGGACCUGCAUCCGAAACUGCCCGACUAGAGGUAGGUAGGGGAGAUCGGAAUUCCUGGUGUAGCGGUGAAAUGCGCAGAUAUCGGGAGGAACACCAGUGGCGAAGGCGGUUGCCUGGAGCUUUGCUGACGCUGAUGCGCGAAAGCGUGGGGAGCGAUCCGG